CCUACGGGAGGCAGCAGUGGGGAAUAUUGGGCAAUGGGCGCAAGCCUGACCCAGCAACGCCGCGUGAAGGAAGAAGGCUCUCGGGUUGUAAACUUCUUUUGUCAGGGAAGAGUAGAAGACGGUACCUGACGAAUAAGCCACGGCUAACUACGUGCCAGCAGCAGCGGUAAUACGUAGGUGGCAAGCGUUGUCCGGAUUUACUGGGUGUAAAGGGCGUGUAGCCGGGUUGACAAGUCAGAUGUGAAAUUCUGCGGCUUAACCGCAGAACUGCAUUUGAAACUGUUGAUCUUGAGUACUGGAGAGGCAGGCGGAAUUCGUGGUGUAGCGGUGAAAUGCGUAGAUAUUAGGAGGAACACCGGUGGCGAAGGCGGUCUGCUGGAGAGCAACUGACGGUGAGGCGCGAAGGCGUGGGGAGCGAACAGGAUUAGAUACCCGGGUAGUC
rnacentral:rRNA from 1 species